GGCGAACCUCCUCUUCAAAGAUUGGAACACAAUGAGGACCAAAAUGCCUCAAUUCAAACAUUAACAGAAGAAGAGCAACCCCAUCAGCAUCAGGAUGAAGAGAAAGGCGAACUUCCUCUUCAAAGAUUGGAACCAAUUGAGGACCAAAAUGACAUUUUGAAUCAUGAGAGGAGGAAAAGGAAGAGGAAGAGAAAAAGGAAGAGGAGCAAAAUUGGACAUCAAAAUUCAAU
rnacentral:misc_RNA from 1 species